UUUUUUUUUUUUUUUUUUUUUUUUUUUGCAUAUAACUUAAUUUGUUUGUAUAAAUGAAUGUCAUCUUGAUGCUUCUUUAGCUAUAAUGAAUUUUCAUUUAGUAAAAAAAGGCAUCAAAUUUCGUUGUAGGCCCCGAAAUAGAACUGGACGCCCCUGAACUUGCUCAUAAUAAUCUAGAUUUUAUCAGUGAAUGUUUUGCCUCAUAAAUGUAGUUAAGAAAUAUGUAAUCACGUGUAGAUAUCAGAAGGUGAUUGAGCUUCAACAAUAAGUACUUUUAGAACUUGAAAGUCAACCAGGUCCGGCACAUAUAAUGAGUGCAUUCUUGUGAACUUGAAACUUGUAAUAGUUACUAAAGAACGGUGAGAAUACAUAUAUCAGAAAAUUUCUAAUAUAUACUGCUAAAAUAUAAUUAAUCUAGACUAUGCAUGUUUUAUUAUUAUUAUUAUUUUUUUUUAUUUUUUUUUUCUUUUUAUUACUAGAAAGCAUAUAGUUGAGAAUAAAAAGUAACACCAGUGUUUACCUACAAUAACAAAAUGGGAUUUUUAAGGUUUGUUUCAUUCAAUCAGCUUCCCCUGGCCUGGUACAAUUAUCAUGAAAACGUGUCAGAAGCCAGUUCUGACCCGAACCAAAAGAACCCCUUUGUUUAAAUAACCGGUUCCAACCUGAACUCAUCGUGGCC
rnacentral:lncRNA from 1 species